AAGUCGUAACAAGGUUUCCGUAGGUGAACCUGCGGAAGGAUCAUUAAUGAAUAAACUUGGUUAAGUUGUUGCUGGCUCUUUAGGAUUAUGAGAGCAUGUGCACGCUUACUCCAUCUUUAACCACCUGUGCACCUUCUGUAGAUCUGUGAACUCGAGGAAUAGUCAAUUUGCUGAGCGAAAGCCAGCUUUCCUUGUGUGAUCAAAUCUAUGUCUUUAUAUACCCCAUAUGAAUGUAUUCGAAUGUCGUAAUUGGCCCAGUGCCAUUUAAAUCAAAUACAACUUUCAACAACGGAUCUCUUGGCUCUC
rnacentral:misc_RNA from 1 species